rnacentral:lncRNA from 1 species
CAGAGGCACCAAAAUCAGCAGGACAAUCUGAGUCCUAGCUCUGCACACCCUCUUCUAAACUAUUAGGUUUGAGCCUUGAAAUGAUGCCUAUCAGUGCACAGGGCCUGAGGCAUGUUGAAGAUCUUAGCAAAUGUUAGGAUAGCUUUUAGGACUUCCUGUGUCGCAGGUAAGAGGUCAGGUUCUGAUAACUCCAAAUUCUUCCCUUUGUUCCUCCAGCCCUAGGGAUGUUAGGUACUUCCUUCCUGACGUUACUCUCUCUAACUUCAGUGUUCCCUUUUGCCUUUAUAACCCUCCAGUGCCUUUUGGUCAAUUGCCAUUGUUAAAUCUUCUGUUAAAAUAUCUGGUGUGGUUUCUGUUUUCCUGACUGAACUUGACUGAUACACGCAGAACACUCACUUCAUUCGUCUUUUUCUACAGUGGCUUCACUGCUCCUCAGGACCCUACCGCACGGCUCCAGAGCUUAGACCGUGCAGGUACAGUCACCUGAUGAAAACGAAUCUCUCUUAGCCCCAGUUACGGAUUCCUGAGAAAGGAAGUCUAAUUGGCCCAGCCUGAGUCAUGUGGCUACCCCUGUCCAAUCAACUGAGGCAGAGGGCGGGACCAUGCUGUACAAAAUGGCAGCUCCUUCUCCUCAAUUCAAGUCAAAGGUUUAGCAGGAAGUUUCUUUUCAGCUUUUCAAAGCUCCGAGACUAUAAAGACCAGGGGAACAGAAACCAUGUCCCCAUCGUUCCCAACCUGUGCACCCAGGCACCCUGUGCUGCGUGAUAUUUUGAAAUUUUGAGAGAAACACAGCAACAUUUCAUCAGAUAUCACAAGAACUUCUAGCUUGAAGUAGCUCUGCUUCAAAUUUAGAUUAUGUUGCAUUUCUGUUCGUAAUAUAUUUUUUGCAAAGCUGAGUUUAGUGAUCAGUGUCAUAAAAUGCAAGUAAGCACAAAGUCAAUAUGGGAUAAAAAAUGAGGAUGGCAGUGUCUGAUUGGAUUCCAAAGAUUGAGAAUCUGCGCAGUGCCCAACAGGCACAUACAUCCCAUGAGUAAGUAAUUGUGGUUAUUUCGAAAUGAAAUAAAAAUAUUAUUUUCUUUGAAUUUGUGUGUAGC